AGUGAACGCUGGCGGUAGGCCUAACACAUGCAAGUCGAACGGCAGCACAGUAAGAGCUUGCUCUUACGGGUGGCGAGUGGCGGACGGGUGAGGAAUACAUCGGAAUCUACUUUUUCGUGGGGGAUAACGUAGGGAAACUUACGCCAAUACCGCAUACGACCUACGGGUGAAAGCAGGGGAUCUUCGGACCUUGCGCGAUUGACUGAGCCGAUGUCGGAUUAGCUAGUUGGCGGGGUAAAGGCCCACCAAGGCGACGAUCCGUACCUGGUCGGGGGGGAUGAUCAGCCAAACUGGAACUGAGACACGGUCCAGACUCCUACGGGAGGCGGCAGUGGGGAAUAUUGGACAAUGGGCGCAAGCCUGAUCCAGCCAUACCGCGUGGGUGAAGAAGGCCUUCGGGUUGUAAAGCCCUUUUGUUGGGAAAGAAAAGCAGCAGGUUAAUACCCCGCUGUUCUGACGGUACCCAAAGAAUAAGCACCGGCUAACUUCGUG
rnacentral:rRNA from 1 species